rnacentral:lncRNA from 1 species
CAUCAUUUUUUUGAAAUUUUGUGAAUCAUGAGUCGACCCCCUAGGGUCGACCCAAUGGCAUACUUGCAAUUUUUUGCCAAAAUCCCACGGGUUGCUCUCUUUUUGAUUAAAAUCCCAUUCAUGAGCCGACCCACUCCAUCUUCGUCUUCCUCCCUCCAAAACCCAAAGUCCUCUUCUUCUUCCUCUCCAAAUCCAAGGUCUACCCCCA